rnacentral:rRNA from 1 species
UACGGGGGGGGCAAGCGUUGUUCGGAAUUACUGGGCGUAAAGGGCUCGUAGGUGGCCAACUAAGUCAGACGUGAAAUCCCUCAGCUUAACUGGGGAACUGCGUCUGAUACUGGAUGGCUUGAGUUUGGGAGAGGGAUGCGGAAUUCCAGGUGUAGCGGUGAAAUGCGUAGAUAUCUGGAGGAACACCGGUGGCGAAGGCGGCAUCCUGGACCAAUACUGACACUGAGGAGCGAAAGUGUGGGGAGCGAACAGG